GACGAACGCUGGCGGCGUGCCUAAUACAUGCAAGUAGAACGCACAGUUUAUACCGUAGCUUGCUACACCAUAGACUGUGAGUUGCGAACGGGUGAGUAACGCGUAGGUAACCUGCCUGGUAGCGGGGGAUAACUAUUGGAAACGAUAGCUAAUACCGCAUAAUAUUGAUUAUUGCAUGAUAAUUAAUUGAAAGGUGCAAUUGCAUCACUACCAGAUGGACCUGCGUUGUAUUAGCUAGUAGGUGAGGUAACGGCUCACCUAGGCGACGAUACAUAGCCGACCUGAGAGGGUGAUCGGCCACACUGGGACUGAGACACGGCCCAGACUCCUACGGGAGGCAGCAGUAGGGAAUCUUCGGCAAUGGACGAAAGUCUGACCGAGCAACGCCGCGUGAGUGAAGAAGGGUGUCGGAUCGUAAAGCUCUGUUGUAAGAGAAGAACGGGUGUGAGAGUGGAAAGUUCACACUGUGACGGUAUCUUACCAGAAAGGGACGGCUAACUACGUG
rnacentral:rRNA from 1 species